rnacentral:misc_RNA from 1 species
AGUUUGAUCAUGGCUCAGAUUGAACGCUGGCGGGAUUGCUUUACGCAUGCAAGUCGAACGGCAGCACGGACUUCCGGUCUGGUGGCGAGUGGCGAGCGGGUGAGUAAUGUAUCGGAACGUGCCUAGUAGCGGGGAUAACUACGCGAAAGCGUAGCUAAUACCGCAUACGCCCUUCGGGGGAAAGCGGGGGACCUUCGGGCCUCGCACUAUUAGAAGCGGCCGAUAUCGGAUUAGCUAGUUGGUGGGGUAACGGCUCACCAAGGCGACGAUCCGUAGCUGGUUUGAAGGGACGACCAGCCACACUGGGACUGAGACACGGCCCAGACUCCUACAGGGAGGCAGCAGUGGGGAAUUUUGGACAAUGGGGGAAACCCUGAUCCAGCCAUCCCGCGUGUGCGAUGAAGGCCUUCGGGUUGUAAGCACUUUUGG